rnacentral:tRNA from 1 species
UCUCUGGUAGUAUAUCGGAUAGUACACCCGCCUGUCAUUGGUUGCGUAAUUCUUACGUAAUCUCAUGGCGCGGGAGAGCGGGGUUCGACUCCCCGCCAGAGAG